rnacentral:rRNA from 1 species
UACGAGGGGGCAAGCGUUGUUCGGAAUUACUGGGCGUAAAGAGCUCGUAGGUGGUUUGUCGCGUUGUCCGUGAAAACUCACAGCUUAACUGUGGGCGUGCGGGCGAUACGGGCAGACUGGAGUACUGCAGGGGGAGACUGGAAUUCCUGGUGUAGCGGUGGAAUGCGCAGAUAUCAGGAGGAACACCGGUGGCGAAGGCGGCUCCUGGACCG